rnacentral:lncRNA from 1 species
GGAUCUUCUUGGAGAAUGCUUAGAGAAGCCAUUGAGCUGCUAUGGAAUACAAAAUAACAAAGAUUGAUCUUGAACUCAUUUCCAUAAAUAUGUUGGGCAAAUAGAAAACCACUCUGCCAGGACUGGAUGAAAUGUGGUGGCUGUGUCCACGGAGCAGUCACACUAACUGUGAGAUUUCCCAUGAAUACUUAAGCCUCAACAGGGGCAGUUUCUUCAAAAAGACUUUGGUCAACAGAUUUGUACUGAAAUAAACUUCACGGGUUGACAUGA